rnacentral:tRNA from 3 species
CCUCUCGUAGCUCAAUGGAUCAGAGCAGAUCCGUCCUAAGGAUAAGAUGGGGGUUCGACUCCCUCCGAGAGGACCA